rnacentral:rRNA from 1 species
GCAGUAUUUUGACUGUGCUAAGGUAGCAUAAUCAUUAGGUUUUUAAUUGAGAUCUAGAAUGAAAGGUUUUAUGAAAUAUAUAUUUUAUUAUUUUUAAUAGUUGAAUUUUAUAAAUUAGUUAAAAUGCUAAUAUUAAAUAUUGGGACGAGAAGACCCUAUAGAAUUUUAUAAUUUAUUUAUUAUAAAAUAUAUUUAAAAAUAAUAUUUAAUUUAUUUAAUUGGGGAGAUUUUUAAAUUUAAUUAACUUUAAUUAUUUUUUCAUUUAUAAAUGUUUAUAUGAUCUUUUAAUAUUGAUUAAAAAUUUAAAUUACCUUAGGGAUAACAGCAUAAUGUUUUUAAGAAGUUCUUAUUUUUAAAAAAGUUUAUGACCUCGAUGUUGGAUUAAAAUAAUUAUUAUAUGAAGAUAUAUAAUUAAUAAGUCUGUUCGACUUUUAAAUUUUUACAUGAUCUGAGUUCAAACCGGUGUAAGCCAGGUCGGUUUCUAUCU